GAAGAUAGAGGUUGCGUGUUUCAAGAGUAGCUUUUCUGAUGUGGCAGGCACAGUUGAGGAAAGAUGAAAGGGGAAGACGCCGAAAGAGGAGAUGACCUGCUUGUCAAAUCUUGGGCAUACAGUUAAGAGCUGUAUGACUGUCAUCUAGCAAUAGAUGGGGCGCUAUCGGA
rnacentral:ncRNA from 1 species